UACGUAGGGCGCAAGCGUUAUCCGGAAUUAUUGGGCGUAAAGAGCUCGUAGGCGGUUUGUCGCGUCUGCCGUGAAAGUCCGGGGCUCAACUCCGGAUCUGCGGUGGGUACGGGCAGACUAGAGUGAUGUAGGGGAGACUGGAAUUCCUGGUGUAGCGGUGGAAUGCGCAGAUAUCAGGAGGAACACCGGUGGCGAAGGCGGAUCUCUGGGCCAUUACUGACGCUGAGGAGCGAAAGCGUGGGGAGCGAACAGG
rnacentral:rRNA from 1 species